GGCCAGAUAGUGCAGUGGUUAGCAUGCCUUGGUAGAAGCAAGGAGGCCCGGGUUCGACCCCCGGUCUAGUCA